rnacentral:rRNA from 1 species
GACGAACGCUGGCGGCGUGCUUAACACAUGCAAGUCGAACGGAAAGGCCCUGCUUUUGUGGGGUGCUCGAGUGGCGAACGGGUGAGUAACACGUGAGUAAACUGCCCUUGACUUUGGGUUAACUUCAGGAAACUGGGGCUAUUACCGGAUAGGAGCUCCUGCUGCAUGGUGGGGGUUGGAAAGUUUCGGCGGUUGGGGAUGGACUGGCGGCUUAUCAGCUUGUUGGUGGGGUAGUGGCUUACCAAGGCUUUGACGGAUAGCCGGCCUGAGAGGGUAGCCAGCCACAUUGGGACUAAGAGACGGCCCAGACGGCUACGGGAGGCAGCAGGGGAGAAUAUUACACAAUAGGGGGAAGCCUGAGACAGCAACGCCGCGUGCGGGAUGACGGCCUUCGGGUUGUAAACCGCUUUCGCCUGUGACGAAGCGUGAGUGACGGCAAUGGGUAAAGAAGCACCGGCUAACUACGUG